rnacentral:misc_RNA from 1 species
UUGAAUUUUAAUGAAGAGUUUGGUUGUAGCUGGCCCAUUCAUUUGGGCAUGUGCACAACCUUCCUCUUUUCAUCCCACCCACACACCUGUGAACCUGUGAGACAGAAGAUGGGGAAUUUACUUGCUGCUUUUUGGAAUACAAAGGCAAUAGGUUAUUGGACCCCCCCUCUGUCUACUCAAUUAAUAUAAACUCAAUUUAUUUUAAAACGAAUGUAAUGGAUGUAACACAUCUCAUAC